AACGAACGCUGGCGGCAUGCCUAACACAUGCAAGUCGAACGAGACCUUCGGGUCUAGUGGCGCACGGGUGCGUAACGCGUGGGAACCUGCCCUUAGGUUCGGAAUAACUCCCCGAAAGGGGUGCUAAUACCGGAUAAUGUCUUCGGACCAAAGAUUUAUCGCCUUUGGAUGGGCCCGCGUUGGAUUAGCUAGUUGGUAGGGUAAAAGCCUACCAAGGCGACGAUCCAUAGCUGGUCUGAGAGGAUGAUCAGCCACACUGGGACUGAGACACGGCCCAGACUCCUACGGGAGGCAGCAGUGGGGAAUAUUGGACAAGGGGCGAAAGCCUGAUCCAGCAAUGCCGCGUGAGUGAUGAAGGCCUUAGGGUUGUAAAGCUCUUUUACACGGGAUGAUAAUGACAGUACCGGGAGAAUAAGCUCCGGCUAACUACGUG
rnacentral:rRNA from 1 species